rnacentral:misc_RNA from 1 species
UAGGGAAAAAUGAUGAAAGUUUUUACGAUGCGCGCGCACACCGUCACAAAAAACCGACACCUGUAGUUAGCUAGCCAACGAAGAAGUUAGCAAAAUGAAGUUAGCUAGCCAAUGAAGUAUAACUUCUUACGUAUACUAUAACUACACACAUAUAUACACACUUUUUUUCUGAAUAUCCGUAUCCUUUGUUCGAAAAUAUUAAAUAAUUGUAUUGUCAUCAGCCACCGACCCCUGUGCGAUUUUUUUUGUACAUUUUAUGCAAUUUCUUUUACGGUCUAUGACCAGCUGUGUGUUACACACAGGGCAUAGACCUCUUU